rnacentral:rRNA from 2 species
GGGGGAUAUUGCACAAUGGAGGAAACUCUGCUGCAGCGACGCCGCGUGAGGGAAGAAGGUUUUCGCAUUGUAAACCUCUGUCUUCGGGGACGAAACAAAUGACGGUACUCGAGGAGGAAGCCACGGCUAACUACGUGCCAGCAGCCGCGGUAAUACGUAGGUGGCAAGCGUUGUCCGGAUUUACUGGGCGUAAAGGAUGCGUAGGCGGAUGUUUAAGUGAGAUGUGAAAUACCCGAGCUCAACUUGGGUGCUGCAUUUCAAACUGGAUAUCUAGAGUGCAGGAGAGGAAAGCGGAAUUCCUAGUGUAGCGGUGAAAUGCGUAGAGAUUAGGAAGAACACCAGUGGCGAAGGCGGCUUUCUGGACUGUAACUGACGCUGAGGCAUGAAAGCGUGGGGAGCAAACA